rnacentral:piRNA from 1 species
UAAACAAAGGUCAAUGCUGGAAC